rnacentral:lncRNA from 1 species
UGAACAAGAGAAUAGAUAAACAAUUUUCAUUACUAAGCAUCAAAGUACAUGUUUGAUUAAAGAAAAGUGUGCCAUGAAAUGUGAAUGAGAAAAUAAGCAAAAAAAGAGAAAAACAAAAAAAAAGAAUGAUAAUUUUCAAUAAAAGAAAUCAAAGGACACUAUAAGUCUCAUCUCCAUCUUUUUCACCUUCAUCCUCUUGCUCUUCUUCAAUUGUGUUCCAUUCAUCAACAUUACAUGUGGUUAUUCCUAUUAUCUUUUUUUGGAUUUUCCUCAUGUCCAAAUAAAGACGAUGAAGAUGCUUAAAUGUUUUAUCCAUUUUUUUCUCAUGCUUCUCCAUGAAUUUGAGCACCUUUUCCUCAAAUUCCUCACUAUAAUUUCUAGGGGCUAGAGGUUGCACCCUUUCCUCUACUCCUUUCUUAUGAAGAGGUGACACUACCCUUGAUCUUUUGGAAGAUCUUCUAAGACCCUUACACCCUCCAAAAAUAUAUUCAUAGGUAUUUUCUUGAGUGAGACUGAUGGAUCUAAAUUGAAGUAGGUAGUCAAGUUUAAGAAGUUUGGACUUAUAGGCUAAUUUAGUUAGAGGAAUUUGCUUAGUGUUUGAAGGAAAAGCAUUGUAACAUUUUGCAAUGAGAGAGAAGAAUAAGUCCUUUAGACUUGUUACUAAGAAAGAUGAAGUGGUCUAUGAGAAAAUGGAAGGUUUGAAUUUUCUUGUGAUUGACAAUUCUAUAGAGAAAGAAAUGGUCUUUUUGGCUUACCUUUUCAGUACCAUCACCUUUAGAAUUGAUAGUGUAAGUAAUAAUAUGGUG